rnacentral:lncRNA from 1 species
UGGGUCUUGAGUUUAUAGUGUAGAGACAUUGGAGUGAGAGUGCAGGUGGUUGUUAAAAAAUAACUAGCAUUGAGCGUGACUAAUACGAGAAGUCACAUGAAUAUCUGCUCACUCGUUAGUGACUUUCUCGAUGCUGCAGUUGUAUGACUGAUCCUUUGAUCUGAGAUGACACUACUGCUUGUACUGAGGCUACUAGUGUUUGACUGACAUAUCAAUAUGAGUCUCAAUGAGCCUUUGUAGUGUAUGUUGGUGAUAGUUGGUCCACUGUAGGAGUGGGACGUGCAUCAAGAUG